UAUGUGUGUGUAUAAAAUAGUACGUAUAUAUUCCUAAUAAUAUAGUAUGGAAUAAAGUACCUGCAUUACUGUCUUCUGUCAUUGCAUCAUCUCCAUCAC